rnacentral:misc_RNA from 1 species
AACAAGGCGUACCUGCGGACCUGCGGAGGGAUCAUUACCGAGUUUACAACUCCCAAACCCCUGUGAACAUACCUAUACGUUGCCUCGGCGGAUCAGCCCGCGCCCUGUAAAACGGGACGGCCCGCCCGAGGACCCCUAAACUCUGUUUUUAGUGGAACUUCUGAGUAAAACAAACAAAUAAAUCAAAACUUUCAACAACGGAUCU